rnacentral:lncRNA from 1 species
GCCUUGCAAAGGGGAGGAGCCUGCCCUCUUGAGCUCUUGUGGUGACCUGGGAAUCAAUGUGUGAGGUGGUGCUAUGUAGCAGGAACCCCUCUUGCUUUGCAAAUAGUUUUUUGUUUGUUUUCCUUUUUGCCCAAUAGAGCCCUGCUCUACUGACCCUUCAAUGUGCCCGUGUGCCUAAAUAUUCCUGGUCGUGUGAAAAGAACCCAGGUAUUAGCUGAACUAAGGAGCACAAUUCUGCAACAUUUUGGCACCCAAACACGGGGCUUGAGAAAUGAAUGCAAUUGGAGAAACUGGUUGUUUUACCAGGCGUUGAUUGGAAAUGUGUGCUUCCCUUUAAGCAGUCAAGCUCAACUUGCAGAACUGAUGGGAACCCCUUGGGAAAACUGGCCUCAAAUGUUUGUCUACACAGUCCACAUACAGGGUUCUUAACCUGCGUUUUUACCUACAUUUUAGACUGACCCUGCUUGUGCCUGUGAACCAACCAACAAUCUCUGGCUGCAGCUCAGAAAGGACAAAAGAGAAUGGAUGGAGUCUUGUUCUGUGGUCCAGGCUAGAGGGCAGUGGCAUGAUCUCGGCUCACUACAAGCUCUGCCUCCCGGGUUCACGCCAUUCUCCUGCCUCAGCCUCCUGAGUAGCUGGGACUACAGGCGCCCGCCACCACGCCUGGCUAAUUUUUUGUAUAUUUACUAGAGAUGGCUAGUGUUAGCCAAGAUGGUCUCGAUCUCCUGACCUCGUGAUCUGCCCACCUCAGCCUGCCAAAGUGCUGGGAUUACUGGCGUGAGCCACCGUGCCUGGCCAGCAUCCUCUAAUUAUUAUUCAUAGUUUGUGAAUUUAGGCCUACGUGAAUAAUAAUAUAAUAUUUACUAUGAUGUUACUAUCUACCAACCUUAUUUUUCUUUUCUAUAAAAUAGGAGCCAAAAUAAUAUUUAUGUCAUACCUUA